GCCGGCUUAGCUCAGUUGGUAGAGCACCUGAUUUGUAAUCAGGGGGUCGCAGGUUCAAAUCCUGCAGCCGGCACCA
rnacentral:tRNA from 2 species